UGUGUGGGGCCGGAGCUGCUUUGCCUGUGGUUAUUAGCAAUGGUAGCAUAUGUAGCGUGGCAGCGAUAGCCCGGAAUGGCGAUCGGUCAGUGUCUGUGUGCUCCAGUUUAUGUUGCUUUUUGCAGAUGCAGAGCAGUGUUCCGAGUGGGCCCAAGGGAGCUGGAGGAAGGAAGGGGCACGCCCCAAGAAGGCGUGGAGCCUUGCGGGGAGCAGGUCGCUCGCAUCCAGGAGGAGCAGGGAGAGGUCUGGGCGAGGACGUAGAGCCCGGCGUAGGGCCAUCGCCUCGUCAGCGCCGUCCCCGUCGCCGUUCCUGUUUUACAGGUGUGUGGCGGACCUCGGCGUGGGGAGCCGUAGCCCGGCAGUCGGGACGGGAGAGCGGAGCAGGCAUUACAGGAAGUUUUGGAGAGGAGAAGCUGAUCAGCAACAAGGAGCCUGAGCAGGUACGGUGCGGGCCUUUCCCAGGCGUGGCUGAGGAUUUGAGGUGAGGUAGAAUGGAUGCCACGGGCAGCCUCACAGCCACAGUGCUGGAG